GUUAGUUUCAUUUUAGUUUUGUCUUGUUUCUGAUUUUGGUAAUUUCUGCUUGCUUAGCUAUAGCUUAGCUUAGUCUAGUUAUGAUUAGAUCUAAUUUUCCUCGAAUAUUAGCCUAACAUCUAUCUUUCCUGCAUGCUCGCGACCGGUUCGGUUAAUCGCGCCGCGCGUCAUGCGGCAGUGCCCCUCGGUCGGUUGGGCGGGAGGAGGGCUGCGUUCUGCUAGGUUCCGCGCGUAACAGGCUUUGGCUUGGUGUCGCAUGGGCCACUUGAUGGUGCAGUCAUUGCAUAUCAACGUCCAACGUCAACGUCAAACCCACCCUGUCCCGCAGCUUUUGUUGCUCUUUUUACAUUCUCUCGUUCACACUCUGCUUCUGCUUCACUCGGCCCCUGCCUCUGCCCUCCCCCUGGCGUUGACUCUUCCGACUUUUACCAAGACUCGGUUUUGAACGCUAGAUGGCGGCACUUUCGAAAAAUUUGCUGUGAAACCUAUCGGUCAUUAUUGCACAGAAUGUGCAGAAUAUUAAACCAUCAAAGUUGCGUACAAGAAAUUUUCAUAGAUGGCGCCACUUUCGAAAAAUUUGCUGUGAAACCUAUCGGUCCAUG
rnacentral:lncRNA from 1 species